UUACGGCCAUAUCACGUUGAAACGUCGAUUCUCGUACAAUCACCGAAGUUGAGCAACGUCGAGCCUGGUUAGUACCUAGAUGGGUGGCCACUUGGGAAUACCAGGUGCUGUAAG
rnacentral:rRNA from 1 species